rnacentral:lncRNA from 1 species
CUACAAAUGAUUCAGGUUUAUCUUCCUUUAUGACACAGAAGUACUCCAUUGUGUGUAUAUAUCACAUUUUCUUUAUCCAUCCAUCUGUUGAUGGACAUAUAGGCUGCUUCCAAGAUUUAGCUGUUAUGAAUUGUGCCGCUAUAAACAAAGCAUGGGUUUCGCUCCGAUGUUGUUCUGCUUGCUCCAUCUGGGACUCAGAUGCAUUCUCCUUUACCACUGAAUUCCUCAACUUGGACCACACCACAUCUGCUACCUGGAAAGUCUGACAAACAGCCUGGAAUAUCUGCCUACGAGCAAAUAUUUAUACUGUUGGAGUUACAUGUAUCAUUUAGCCUAUCUUACCUCAGAGUGUUUUUGCUUUACACUGAGUCAGAUACAGAACUCAAAACUUCUUAGUUUUGUGAAUGUUGAAUAGUAAAUUUUUUGUUUUGGUCAGCCUAUCCUGUCUUCAGAGGUGCUGAUUUCAUCAAUUACAAGCAAUAAUUAUUCAACAUUCACAAAACUAAACUAAAAUAAAUCAUAUAUAUGAUAUAUAUUAUAUAAUAUAUAGUAUAUAUAUGUAUGUAUUUUUAAAAACUUAAACUGGGCAUAGUGGAACAUGCCCAUAAUCCUGGCAUUCUGGGAGGCUGAGGCAGGAGGAUCACAAGUUCAAGUCCAGCCUGUUAGCAACUUAGUGAGACCCUGUCUCAAAAUAAAAAAAUUAAAAGUAGGACUAAGGAUGUAGCUUAGUGCAGAGGCCCUGGGUUCAAUCCCCAGGACAGAAAAAAACAAUUAAAAAUCCAGCUGAUCUUGGGGAUAAGACUAAGGCACUUCUGGUUGUUUCUGAAUGUUCCAUCUUAUCCCACCAUUUCUCAGCUUUUCUGCAUUAUAACUGGUCUCCUUUAGCUAGCCAUAAAGAGAGAAUUCCUUUUUUCAGACCAGUGAACUGACUGAUCACAUCACAUCAGCUCUAUUCUUCAGGUCAUGGCUUUGCAGCUGAGUUGUUUUAUUUACAGGUAUUUCUCGGUUUUGUUUGUUUGUUUUGCUUUGCAUUUAUAUUUGGAAAUCUAGUUGAAAAAAACAACAUUACUGGAUCCAGGAGCACCUUAUGAGAGUACACGUACCUUGCUGAUAGAAAUAAAAUCUAGAAUCUAUGACUCUCUUCUUUAGUUCCUUUCACCUGCAAGAAGAUAAGGUGCCCAGUCUAAUAGCUGAGGCAACACGUCUAUGUUUACCAUGUUGUACAUGCUUUAAUUUCCCUUAGCAGUCAUUCACCAGAGAGAGAAGGAGGAGCAACCUACAGGAAUCAGUGAUUUCUGGCAUUAAAAUUGCUGGCCACAUCAGGCUGCUUCUCACACAUGGCCCCAGUAAGACCAGAUAAAUUUCCACGGAAUCAUUCAACCUGUCUGAUUACUGUUUCCUGAUGUCAGAAGAGAUUCAAAUUUCCUACAUUUUAGGAAAUAUAUCUCUAUAUGUACAGCCUAUUGGUUCUGUUUUUCUGCAGAACCCGAAUACAAAUCUCAUAAUGAUUUAUACAAGAUCAAAUUAAAUUUCAUGAAAAGUUUGGAGAAUCUGAUUCUAUUCUAGUCUUCUUAGGAAAAUUAAAUACAUAAAUUAAUUCAAAAAAUUCUAAAUUAAAAAUGUGAGUAAUGACACGAGGCUAGAUAAAUUAGUUAUUUAAAUAUAUUAUAAAAGCUAUGAUAAUUAAAAUAUGGCACUGCUAAGAGAAGAAAAAUAUAUAGAUAUAGGAUCCAGAAUAGGCAGCCCAGAAAUUCACUUUGUUCCAUAUAAGAAGUGGCUAGACACUCACAGAUAUAUAUCAGAAGGAAGUGAAGUCAGCAUACAAAAGAUACCUGCAUGCCCAUGUGUAUUGUGCCACUUUUCACAACAGCCAAAGUAGGAAUCAGCCUCAGUGCCUUAAUAAUGGAUAAAUGUGAUACACACACACACACACACACACACACACAAUAGAGUACUAUUCAGCCGUAAAGAAGAACGAAAUCCGUCCAUUUCCCUCAAAGUGAAUGGAACUGGAGACAUUGUGUGAAACUAGUCCCAGAAAGUUAAAAUUCACAUGCUUUCUUUUAUGUAAGCAAUCUAAAAGUAAAGACAAAUAAAUGCAAACGCAAAGGAGAGAGGACAGGAAACCAGAAGGUCGAUUUCCAGUGACAGGAAAGGGGAAGGGAGACAAAAGAAAGGGUAUGAAAGUCAUCAGACUUUGUUAAACGCGUGUACUAAUGUAUCAUUACGAAUCUCAGUAUUGUUACUGCUAAUCCGUACCAAUAAAAAUAAAAUUACC